UGGCUCAGAUUGAACGCUGGCGGCAGGCCUAACACAUGCAAGUCGAGCGGUAGCACAGAGAGCUUGCUCUCGGGUGACGAGCGGCGGACGGGUGAGUAAUGUCUGGGAAACUGCCUGAUGGAGGGGGAUAACUACUGGAAACGGUAGCUAAUACCGCAUAACGUCGCAAGACCAAAGUGGGGGACCUUCGGGCCUCAUGCCAUCAGAUGUGCCCAGAUGGGAUUAGCUAGUAGGUGGGGUAACGGCUCACCUAGGCGACGAUCCCUAGCUGGUCUGAGAGGAUGACCAGCCACACUGGAACUGAGACACGGUCCAGACUCCUACGGGAGGCAGCAGUGGGGAAUAUUGCACAAUGGGCGCAAGCCUGAUGCAGCCAUGCCGCGUGUGUGAAGAAGGCCUUCGGGUUGUAAAGCACUUUCAGCGGGGAGGAAGGCGAUAAGGUUAAUAACCUCGUCGAUUGACGUUACCCGCAGAAGAAGCACCGGCUAACUCCGUGCCAGCAGCCGCGGUAAUACGGAGGGUGCAAGCGUUAAUCGGAAUUACUGGGCGUAAAGCGCACGCAGGCGGUCUGUCAAGUCGGAUGUGAAAUCCCCGGGCUCAACCUGGGAACUGCAUUCGAAACUGGCAGGCUAGAGUCUUGUAGAGGGGGGUAGAAUUCCAGGUGUAGCGGUGAAAUGCGUAGAGAUCUGGAGGAAUACCGGUGGCGAAGGCGGCCCCCUGGACAAAGACUGACGCUCAGGUGCGAAAGCGUGGGGAGCAAACAGGAUUAGAUACCCUGGUAGUCCACGCCGUAAACGAUGUCGAUUUGGAGGUUGUGCCCUUGAGGCGUGGCUUCCGGAGCUAACGCGUUAAAUCGAACCGCCUGGGAGUCGCCAAAAUUU
rnacentral:rRNA from 1 species